rnacentral:snoRNA from 1 species
AUAAAAGCAGAGGCCUGUUUGUAUUUGUGAGCAGGUUUCCCGUAAACAUCAGGGAUAAAAAAUGGCAAUGUUAUUGGGUGAAUCUAUUGAGUUUUUUCGAUGAUUGAUGGUUCAGUAAACAAUGCAACAAUC